rnacentral:tRNA from 1 species
GGAGCUAUAGCUCAGCGGUAGAGCGUCUGUUUGGCAUGCAGAAGUCCCCACGUUCGAUCCCCGGCAUCUCCA